UUCCCCAUCGCGUCUCCCAAGUCUCGCGGGAUCUCGAGCGCGGUCCCGCGGGGCCACGGCAGGGUCGCGAGCCGCCAUCAUGGCGGCCGAGGAGGCGGAUGUGGAUAUCGAGGGGGAUCCCGGAGCGGCCGUUCCUCCUCCACGCGGAAGCCAGGAACAUACAGCAUCUGGUUCACAGCAAGAUCACUACCUUGAUUCCACCUGGAGAACUGGUAAUGGCCUCACUCCUUGGACUCUGGAUAAUACCAUCAGUGCUGAGAACAGGGCUGUCAUCGAGAAAAUGUUGCUGGAAGAAGAAUAUUAUAUGUCUAAUAAAUCACUUCCAGACAAUUUCUGGCUUGAUCAUAAGGAAAGUAAUAAAAAGUGUGUGAAAAGUCCACAAAAAUCAGGAAAACUCACGAUUCGGUCACCUACAAAGCCAGCCAGUCACUCAGUCAAGUGGACGGUGGGAGAAAAAGAGCUGUUUGAGCAAGGCCUGGCCAAGUUUGGCCGGAGGUGGACCAAAAUUGCAAAACUAAUAGGAAGCCGAAAUGUUUUACAAGUCAGAAGUUACGCCAGACAGUACUUAAAGAAGAAGACGAAAUUAGAUGGUCUGGGAAAAGGCGUGCCCAAGCUGAAGAGCAGCAGUCACCUUCAGCCCCCAGAUGCCUCAUUAGGCCCACAAGGGCAUGCUGACUCUAAUCUGAAUGCUGUAAAAAUUGAGGCGUUAUCCGAUGAUGAAGAAGUGGACAUCACUGAUGAAUCAGAUGAAUUUUUUCACAUCCCCCUAAGGAAUCCCAGAAGUGUUCUUUUAUUUGAUGUUUCCAGUAAUACAGACCAUGAAACGCACCCCCAAGGGUUCAUUCCUCCUGUGGGACAAGACCAUGCCGUUUCUGCAGCUCCCAGGAAGGACCUUCACAGUGCCUCGCAAGGGCAGAGGGAGGCGCUCUUUGCCUCGGGAGUUGCUUCCCAGUUGGAGAAGUCCAGCUGCAAUGGUGGGAGAUGUGACCAGGUAGACAACGAUCAGACAUCUAAUCCCAGUGGUGGUGUGGAAGGGAGCACCUCACUGGGGGACAGCGAGCAGGGAGCUGGCCCGAGGCUUGGCCGAGGGCCGAAGGACAUCCUCGAUUGUGAGAUGCUUUUUUACCCCUCCUGCCAAGUGGACGAAGAGAGCCCAGAAGAGGGGGAGCCAUUCAAAGUGCCCGAGCAGGAGGUGGAAGUCAACAGAGACACCAUUCAGGAGGAGGAGAAGCAGGCCAUCCCUGAGUUUUUUGAGGGCCGCCAGGCCAAGACACCAGAACGCUAUUUGAAGAUUAGGAAUUACAUUUUGGAUCAGUGGGAAAAAUGCAAACCGAAAUAUUUGAAUAAGACCUCAGUGCGUCCAGGCCUGAAGAACUGUGGCGAUGUUAACUGCAUUGGACGGAUACACACAUACCUGGAAUUAAUAGGAGCAAUCAAUUUUGGAUGUGAGCAGGCCGUGUAUAACAGACCGCAGGCCGUGUAUAACAGACCGCAGGCCGCGGAGAAGACACGAAUCAGAGACGGCAGAGAUGCAGCAGAAGCCUACCAGCUAGCGCAGCGGCUGCAGCCGAUGCGAGCACGCAGGCGACGUGUGCGAGACCCGUGGGGGAACUGGUGUGAUGCCCGGGACUUGGAAGGCCAGACAUUUGAGCAUCUCUCCGCUGAGGAGUUAGCCAGAAGGAGGGAAGAAGAAAAAAACAAACCCACCAAAGCUCCCAGGGCCCCCAGGCUCCCCAAAAGCUCCUUUGACCCGUUCCAGCUGAUUCCUUGCAGUCUCUUCAGCGAAGCAAACCAGGAGCCAUUUCAGGUACAAGUGGCUUCAGAAGCACUUUUAAUGAUGGAUUUGCAUGCUCAUGUUUCCAUGGCAGAAGUGAUUGGUCUCUUAGGAGGAAGAUAUUUGGAAGCUGAGAAGGUGAUUGAGGUCUGUGCAGCUGAGCCCUGUAACAGUCUGAGCACGGGACUGCAGUGCGAGAUGGACCCUGUAUCCCAAACCCAAGCAUCAGAGACCCUGGCCGACCGAGGGUACAGCGUCAUUGGUUGGUACCACUCUCAUCCUGCCUUUGAUCCGAACCCUUCGCUUCGAGAUAUUGACACCCAGGCCAAGUACCAGAGUUAUUUCUCUAGAGGUGGAGCAGUGUUCAUUGGGAUGAUCAUUAGCCCAUAUAAUCGAAACAAUCCUUUACCAUAUUCCCAAAUUACCUGCCUGGUUAUAAGUGAUGAAAUUAGUUCAAAUGGUUCUUACCGUGUGCCUUACAAAUUCGAAGUACAGCAGAUGUUAGGAGAGCCUCGAUGGGAAUUGGUGUUUGAAAAAACAAGGUGGAUGAUUGAAAAAUACCGCCUCUCCCCGAGCGGUGUCCCUAUGGAUAAAAUCUUUCACCGGGAGUCUGACCUGACUUGUUUGCAAAAACUCUUGGCGUGUCUAAAGAAGACUUUGGGCAAAGUGAGCAACUGCCAUGUUGCUGAGGAAUUCUUGAUUCAGAUAGAGAAGUUGUUCCUUUCCCGUUACAGAAGCAAACCAGCGAAGGGCACAGCAGGAGAGGGCUGCCCUGUGUGCCCACCGCAGCUGUUACUGUGAUCGUUUUAUAACGGGACAUUUUCAUUUUUAAGAUGCAAUUCAUGAAGUUACUGAGCAGCAAGAGCAAACCAGUUUGAAAAAUGUCUCGAAGGAUGGUAGAAAUGUUGAUGGUUUAAAAAUGCCAGAUUGAUUUAAGACUUUCAGAUGUCAGCAUUUAUGUGCCAUGCACUGUGUGCUGUUCCUGUUACAUUUCAGGGAGCACGGGAUUGGAUAAAUCACCCCAUCAUCUCACAGGAUGUUCACAGCAACACUGGGAGGCAGGUGCUAUUAUCAUCCUCAGAUAGGGAAACUGAGGCUGAGAAGUCUGUGGUGCACAAGCAGCAUGUCUGGAUAACCUUGAACAUCAUUUUCCCUCACUGGGCCUCAGUUUCCUCAUUUGUAAAAUGAAGGAAUGGGACUAGGAGAUUUCUCAGGGCCCCUCCGGCUCUUAACAGUGGAUGAACCGGGAAAGUAAUUUAGUUUCAAUGUGCAAGUUGGAUUGGAUUCCAUCUCCCAGACCUGAUGGAAAAACCAAGUACUGAAACCAUAAGCCACUUCCAGCUCCAAAGUUUGGCUGUGCCCAUGUGUUACUUCACUACAGACUGAUCUUGGUAGCUGUGAACCAGGAUGACGGUGAAAGCCAGCCUCCCCCAGAAGACUUUACUCAGAGUUAUGGAGACGUACAAAAGAAAUAAAAGACCCAAGAAGUGCUGCUCUCAAGGAGUUUCCAGUCUAGCCUGGUUAAUCUCAUCAAAAGGAACUUUAGAACACAGAAGCUGAAGAUAACUACGAUUGAGAGAGGGAGAGUAAUUUGCCCAAGGCCACCCAUACAGUGAUGUGUCUGGUGCCCCAGCUGGGCCUAGAUUCUGGCUCUCCUAACUGCUGUCCACUGAAGGAAGCUGCCAUUUUGAACCUGAUUUGCACCCCUAAGGAAGAUCUGGAUGCUCAUGUGGAAAUGAUGGGAAGCUUGGGAAGAGGUCGACUUUCUAUUACUGGAUAUUUGAAAGAGAAAGAGACGAAGGUGGUCUUAAUCUUGACAAGCUCAGGCCAAGGCUGGAUAAAUGUUUGCUGAGUGUCUGAAAGUGGAGUUGGCCUCGGCGGCUGCUGAGACUUUCUGCACACCUGCAACAUUGGCGAUUCUAUAUUUUGGGAGAGCAGGUGUCAGAGGGCUCAGAUAGGUAAGACCCGAUGGCUCAGGAGGGAUGAAAAUCUCUCCAGAAAGAAGACCUCUGAAGUAAUGAAUUAAACAUUCUCUUGGGAAAGAGGAGAAUGAAGUGGCUAGUGAGGAGCUGGUCAACCAACUCAUGUUUUUAAAAGAUUAUGCAGAACAUGGUGGGUGUGAACAGGUUUCCACACAGAGACAAUGAGGAUGAUAGAUUUAAACCUGGGACGAAUGUAAGGGGAGGGGCCUUGUGCAACCCUGUCAUUUGGCACAUGAGGAGACUGAAGCCCAGAGAGUUUAAGUGAGUUACCCAGAGCCACACAGGUACUACAAGAAAGAAGUGGAUUUGAACUCAGCCCACUGACUCCAAAUCUGUUCCAUGCUUCCAUCCGCUUCUUCCCUUUCCCCCACCCAAGCACCCUAAGAAUUGCCUGGAAUACUGGAAAAUGAGAGCCUUGGGAUGCUGCCAUAUGAGGCUGCCUAGUCACUGCAGUGAUCUUUGAAAUACUGUGGAGAGUGGGAGCGGCACCGAAGUACUGAAGAAGGACACAUGCUAUCCUAAUGUUCCAAAAAGGACAGUGAAUGGAGUCUGCAGACUCGAGGCCUCCUCCCCGAUUCCCUUGUCCCUGGAAUGCUCUCCCUCCUCCCCUGCACCUCUUAAAAUCCCUUCAAAUUCCUUUGAGACUCAGCUCAAAGACCACCUGCAGGAGGAGACCUUUCUUACUCCCCCCAGAGUCUGGUGGCUUCCCCGCCAAGGUUUGUUACUGUUCAGUCGUUUUCAGUCACGUCUGAGUAUUCGUGACCCCAUCUGGGUUUAUACCUGUGUGAGAGUGGGAUUCUACUUCUCCACCAGUCAGCCAACCAACAGAAUAAACUUGGUGUUGAGAAAUUUUGCUAUCAACUUGUCUCAAUGUGUGGAUAAACUCUUAGUCAAUUUGAAAGGAUCAUGGGACUUUUGAACAUUUGGAUGGAAGGUAGAUGAUGUUUCACAAGAAACAUCUUACGAUUGGUUAAGAAUAUCCAAUUACAUCUUCUGUGCUGCUCACGAAAAGAACAAUUGGUCCAUCAGUGAAGGCCUUUCAGUUGUGAGCCAGUCAAGUGGUGGAGGACUCCAGGCCUGCGGGCAUUCUGAGAAGGCACAGGAGGAGAACAAUGUCUACAAUAACAACACUAUAGAGACAGAAACAACUUUAAAAAUUAUAAGAAUUCAGAUCAGUACAAUGGCCAUCCCUGAUUCCAGAGGACCAAUGGGGAAGAAAUGUGACCCACCCCCAGACAGAGGGUCGAUGGACUUGGGGCACAGAACAAGACGCAUCUGAGACCAAACCAAUCCAGAAACUGAUUUUGCUUGAGUAGGCAUACUGGCUUCAAGGGAUUGUUUUUUUUUUUCUUUUCUGUAUUCCAGUGGUUUGAGGAGUGGGAGAGAAAGAAAAUAGAUUUU